UACGUAGGGGGCAAGCGUUGUCCGGAUUUAUUGGGCGUAAAGAGCGUGUAGGCGGCCUGAAAGGUCAGCUGUGAAAACUCGAGGCUUAACCUCGAGACGUCGGUUGAAACCAUCUGGCUAGAGUCCGGAAGAGGAGUGUGGAAUUCCCGGUGUAGCGGUGAAAUGCGCAGAUAUCGGGAAGAACACCCGUGGCGAAGGCGGCACUCUGGGACGGGACUGACGCUGAGACGCGAAAGCGUGGGGAGCGAACAGG
rnacentral:rRNA from 1 species